UAAAGUAUAGUACUUAUAUUGACCCAUGGAUAAGUCAACCCAGGUUUUUGGGGUCUAUUUUUUGACUAGCAUUUCUAGACUUAUACAUGAGCAUGUAUGGUAUGUGUUCAUGCUCUGCCUUGUGAUAAUGACAGAUUUUCUUCAUGGUAAUAAUGGUUGGCAGGAGUAGGAAAACUGCAGACCACAUGAAGCCCCAACCCUUCUCUUGUGCUCCCUGAUUUCUCUUGAAAUUCCCAUAUGCUCUUCAGAUUUGGGGGAGAUGGAAAAUCACCCCUCCCCCCAAAAAAAGUUGAAAUUAGGGCGGUUGCUACACCUAAAUUUCUUCAGGAACAGUGAAAUAGAAAACUGCCUUACAUGUGUGAAAAGGCCAUCAAACCCCUAGAAAAUUUCAACCAUGAUACUCACUGGUGACUUCUGCCCAAAAAUCAACUAGUGCAGCCUGUCACUGUGCUUUUACUAAGGAAAGAUUGAACCCUGCUGUAUUUGCCCACUGUUGUUCUAAGAGCUGAUUUAUACAUACAAUAAAUUAGGAUCCCAGUUGUUGUCAGAAACCACCACCCUUUUCAAGGAAGAAGUAAGAAAAGUGUACCUUUUCAGGUAGAAGGGGGAGGGCCCUUGUUUUUCCCUUCACUCAAUGCUUUCCUCCUUCUAUCUGCUGGACAUUUUUCUUUCAUCUGGAAACAAUACAUGUCUCCAUCAUAGAAGGAAGGGAGAAGCAUCUGGCAACAGAACAAUUAAGUAGUACAUCCUCUUGUUUAUGACCUCCCUCCUGCCAGCUGUCCCUUCUGCUUUGCAUCUGUGUAGUGGCAACCAGGAUUUUCAGGUCUGUAUUUGCUGUGACAAAACCUUUCAGACAGGAUAUUUUGCUUUCUUUCUGGUCCAUUUCCAAGGAGUGGCCUCAGAAGCAUCUCGCCUCUCUUGCCUAUUUGGGUCCAACACCAAGGCCCCCCUGAAGAACCAGAGCAGAAGACUUCUAGACCUCCUUUAUAUGUCAGGCUUUACAAGAGGCUUGCACAUUAUUGGGCACCUGCCCCCACAGAAACCCCCAAGGAGAUGACCCCAGAGGUCUGGGAAGUAAUGCAGCUGUCAGCCAUUGAAUUCUCUGUCACUACUCAGAACAGACAUCUUGACUUAAAACGUACUGAAGACUUCAUGAAUAUUUGCAUUGAACCUGAUACAGUCAGUAAGGGAGACUACAUAACAAGAGGAAGUCUAAAGAUGCAGGAACCCCACAUGUGUCCAGAAGGAAGCCAGUUUCUUCAGGCUAGUAGAUGCAUCUUGGAGCUUCCAGAG